rnacentral:tRNA from 1 species
GGGCUCAUAGCUUAGCCUGGUAUAGCACUCGGCUCUUAACCGAGAGGUCAGGGGUUCGAAUCCCCUUGAGCCCA